rnacentral:rRNA from 1 species
UACAGAGGUGGCAAGCGUUUGUUCGGAAUUACUGGGCGUAAAGGGCGCGUAGGCGGCCAUCUAAGUCAGACGUGAAAUCCCCCGGCUUAACCUGGGAACUGCGUCUGAUACUGGAAGGCUUGAGUAUGGGAGAGGGAUGUAGAAUUCCAGGUGUAGCGGUGAAAUGCGCAGAUAUCAGGAGGAACACCGGUGGCGAAGGCGGUUCUCUGGGCCUUACCUGACACUGAGGAGCGAAAGCGUGGGGAGCGAACAGG